rnacentral:rRNA from 1 species
GCUCAAAUUUGAAAUCUGGCGUCCUCAGGGCGUCCGAGUUGUAAUCUAUAGAGGCGUUUUCCGUGCCGGACCGUGUCCAAGUUCCUUGGAACAGGAUAUCAAAGAGGGUGACAAUCCCGUACUUGACACGACGACCGGUGCUCUGUGAUACGUCUUCUACGAGUCGAGUUGUUUGGGAAUGCAGCUCAAAAUGGGUGGUGAGUUCCAUCUAAAGCUAAAUAUUGGCGAGAGACCGAUAGCGAACAAGUACCGUGAGGGAAAGAUGAAAAGCACUUUGGAAAGAGAGUUAAACAGUACGUGAAAUUGUUGAAAGGGAAACGAUUGAAGUCAGUCGUGACCGAGAGGCUCAGCCGGUUCUGCCGGUGUAUUCCCCUCGGUCGGGUCAACAUCAGUUUUGUCCGGUGGAUAAGGGCGGUAGGAAGGUGGCACCCUCGGGUGUGUUAUAGCCUGCCGUCGCAUACAUCGGGUGAGACUGAGGAACGCAGCUCGCCUUUAUGGCCGGGGUUCGCCCACGUCCGAGCUUAGGAUGUUGACAUAAUGGCUUUAAACGACCCGUCU